AAGGUCACACAAUGGACAAGUGUCUGAUUCAAGAUGCUGGAUUCAUACCCCUAAGUCUAGCUCCAGAGCUGGGGAUGUUUAAUCCCUUUACCUCAGCACGUGAAGCACUCACCCCUGGGCAGGCACGCACAGAGUUCCAAGGAGUCUCAGCUGCUGUUACCUUUGUUGGAAUUAUCAACAUGACCAUUUCCCUACUUACCACCUGCCCUCACAGUUCUCACAGGAAUGCCCUUGUCUGUCAUUACUAGUGGCUUCCCCAAUGGGAGGUUUUUCUCUCAGCUGCAAUUGCAUUAUGUCCAAAGGCUGCACCUUCCUCUCCUUUGAGCACAGCACAGAGCUUAACCCUCGAGAAUCAGUGAUUCAGGGCUGGGUCUCUCCACCUUCAUCAGCGACUUGAGUGACAGCCUCUGAUGCCAUCUAACAUCCCAAUAUGAGGUUUGACUUUUUCAGGUAUUUGUAAACUUCAUUCUGGAGGACUAGAGACAGCCCAGUCCAGAGGACCUGGUUCCAGGAGGUGAUAAUGGAGACCUAUGUGCUCCUGGUCUCACUGGGUAACAGCUCACCUCUGCUCCAUUCAUGGACCCGCUGCCUAUUUGGUUCUGUCUGUCCUCUCUGUCCAGGACUGGCUGGUUGAGAAGACCACUGGCAUGCACUGUCCUUCUUCCCUGCAUUCCUCACCAUGUUCUGGACCGACGUCCUCUAUUCUAACCUUUCUGUCUGCACCAAGGGUCUUUUGGUAAAAAACACAAGUCCUCACCUGAGUGCCCAUCACACUCUAACCACAUCUGAGGUCCCCACUCCAGAUUACACAGAAGGGGAACUGACUAGCCUAGCCUGGUUGGGUCAUAUGUCCCCUCGGUCCAGUUAGCAAGGUCAUGGGUGAUAGGCUGCUUCAGAGAAGAGGGUGAGUCAGGCAGUACUUCUUGAGAAUCAUUUAGCAUCAGUUAAUCCAGGGUAUCUUCUUAAACCAUACAAUCCCAGUUAAAACAGGCUCCUGGUGACUUCCCUUGUGGUCCAGUAGUUAAGACUAAACACUUCCAAUGAACGGGGUACUGGUUCGAUCCCUGGUCGGUGAAGUAAGAUCCCACAUGCUGCGCAGCAUGGCCAAAAAAAAAAGGUGGGGGUAGCUCCUGAAUGCUACACCAUUGUCCCUUGUUUCUUAAGGCCUAGACCAUGCUCUUGUGCUGCUUCAGGAGAUGAUUUUAGAGGGUGCACAGAUCUGACAUAAAGUGGAAUGCUUGGACACCCUGAGAAAGCGAUUCUUUUCCCCUGCUCUUUCCCUUGCUGCUGUCAGGAGAAAGUCUUCUUGGUAUAGUGCUAGAUCUCUAUUGCCCACUGUUACUAAUAUCCCCCUCCCCGUUUUUUGUGCCCGAACAGGGACCUGAAACUAAUAUCCCUUUUUAAUAGAGGGGGCACCCAUGAGCAUACCCCAUGGGGUCCCUGGGACUUCAGAGCAUUAUUUUGAUUUCAUUGUAUUUUCAUGGUAAACUUCCACUUGUCCCAAGUCAAACUGGUCUUCCCAAUUAGCAGAGAGAUACAAAUAUUCUUUUUAAGAGGCAAUCUAUAUAAGAAAAAUAAAAUAUAGGUCAUUUAAAAGAGAAUUGUAACACUGGCCACAGCCAAGUUCCCGUAAGCACAGAUCAGGUGUCAGGUUUGUUGCAGGCACUGUUCAGACUCCAUUCCUUGAAUUCCAACAUCCUGUCCUCAGCAAAGUAAGGAAAAUACAGCCACUGAGUGAGUCCCUCAGAAACCUCAAGUUAUUCAAUGUAGAAGAUGUGCCUUCUUUAUGAGGUGCCAACCUGUGCUUUCUUUGCUGCUAAAAGUCCUUUUUGUGACCACACUGCACGGCAUGCAAGAUCUUAGUUCCCAGACCAGACCAGCGAUCGAACCCCUGCCCUCUGCAGUAGGAGCACAGAGGCCUAACCACUGGAUUGCUAGGGAAUUCCCUAAAAGUCCUUUUUAAAAAUGAAAUGUAAGUGAGUGUAGAUGAUAGUUAAUGUCCUUUCUGCACCAAAUCACCAUGUAGAUUUUCUGAUUUUUAAAAAAAUUUUACAGAUCCAUGAAAUAUCAAAAUCUGGGAAUGACCAAGUCAUCCCCUCACACAGAUAUCCCUUUCUCAAGGAUUAAAUACUCCAGAUCACCUCCCCCUCACAUGGCUACCUUCUCCAAGAAUGCUGGCUCUACACAGGGCUGUGCACUGUUUCCUCCUCAGUGUAGCACUCAGGAGGCAGAGUCCUGAAGCCAUAGCUCCUGGUGAGAAUCCCAACUCUGCUUCUCACAGGCUGUAUGGCCCCAGGCAAGUUUCUGAACCUCUCCCUGGCUUAGAGUACUCCUUGACAGAAUGGGGUAAUAUGGUAUUUAUGUCACAGUACUAUUGUUUGUCUAAAUGGGUUCAUGUAUGAAAACUGACCAGUCUGUUACUUCCUGACUGUGCAGGUCUGAGGUAUGAUCUCUGUUGCCAUCACUGCUCCUGUUGAUACCACCAUCAUCAUCAUCAUUAUCCUCAUUAUCAUCAUGCCUGAACUUGGCACCUUCUAGAGCAGUGUUGUGAAGCGUUGUAGUUCAAUAGUACAGAUGCCAGAGACAGCCAACCUGGGUCCCCAACUGAAUCAGCUGAAUAUCAGUUACAUGCCAUUCACCUGUCUCAAUUCACUUGUUAUUGAUAGUUGAGUUGUUUCCAGCUUGGGGAUGUUAAAGAUAAAGCUGCUGCAGACAUUUAUAGCUAGUCUUCAUGUGGAAAUGUGUUUCAUUUAUUUUGAACUAAGAUUUGUGAGUAUAAUUCCUGAGUCAGAUGGUAGGUGAAUUUUUUGUUGUUAAGAAACUGACAAAAUUUCAGUUUCGUUGACCUUUUCAAUUUUUUUUUAGUCUCUAUUUCUGCCCUGAUCUUUAUUAUUUCUUUCUUCUACUAAAUUUGGGUUUUGUUUGUUCUUUUAAUAGUUCCUUUAGGUAUAAGUUUAGGUUGUUUGAGAUUUUUUUUGUGUUCCUGAGGUAGGCUUGUUUCACUAUAAACUUCCCACUUUGGACUGCUUUAGCUAUAUCCCAUAGAUUUUGGAUUGUUUUGUUUUCAUUUGCCUAUAGAUUUUUUUUUUUUUUUUUUUUUUUUUUGCCACACUGGGCAGCUUGAGGGAUCUGUUUCCCGACCAGUGAUUGAACCCAGGCCACAGCAGUGAAAGCCUGGAAUCCUAUCCACUAGGCCACUAGAGAACUCCUGAUAUAUAUAUUUUUUAUUUCUUUGAUUUCUUCAGUGAUCCAUUGGUUGUUAGCAUAUUAUUUAGUAUCCAUGUGUUUGUGUUUUUUGCAGUUUUUUUUUUCUUUUUCUUGUAGUUGAUUUCUAGUCUCAUAGCAUUGUGGUCGAAAAAGAUACUUGACAAGUAGGAAAAGUUAUGGUCAGAGAAGGUUCUUUGAAAAGAAAAAUAAAAUUGAUAAAUCUUUAGCCACACUCAUCAAGGAAAAAAGAAGUCCAAAAUCCAUAAAAUCAGAAAUGAAGAAGUUUCAACUGACACAACAGAAAUACAAAGGAUCGUGAGAUUAAUAUCAACAACUGUAUGCCAAUAAAAUGGACAACCUAGAAGAAAUGGAUUAAUUCCUAGAAUGUACACUCAAGACUGAACAAGGAAAAAAUAGAAAAUAUUAAUGGACCAAUUAACCAGUAAUGAAAUUGAAUCAGCAAUUUUAAAAAACUACCAACAAACAGAAGUUCAGGACCAAAUGGCUUCACAAGUGAAUUCUACCAGAAGUUCAGAGAAGAGUUAACACCUAUGCUUCUCAAACUAUUCCCAAAAACUUACAGCAGGAACACUUUUGAACUCAUUCUACAAGGCCAGCCUCACUACAAUACCA
ensembl:lncRNA